AGUGUGCCAUGUGCGUAGUACAGCACCGUUUUUGCAUAAUAGCGUUCUAUAUGACGUUGAAGGAUGAGAACGGCCUGGUUUAUCCAGUGGAGAGAGGCUCAUGAUGCUGAAUCAUGUCAUCAAAGGAUUUGAAGUGCAGAGCUUUUGUGGUGGAGCAGGACCUGCAAGGAAAGAUGGUGGCAGUAUUUGUUUGGGAAAAAAAGGUUUUAGGGAAUUUAUUCAAAUAUAAAGAUCUUAAAUGUCUGCAGACUGGUGUGAGCACUGAAGAUGAGGAGCCCAGAGCUGAAUCCUGGAAGUGGUCCCAUGGAUGAGACCCUUCAUCUCUCCCUCUGCCCUUAUGAGUCCCUCCAUCUCUCCACCUGCCCUUACGAGAACCUCUAUCGCUCCAUCUGACCUUAUUGCCUCAGAUUGUGAAGCGCUUGCAGUAGGAUGUGGUGUUCAGCGCCUGUAAAUACAUGCUUGUAGUUUGAAUAAAGCUUUGUUUCAUGUG